AGACGACGCUGGCGGCGUGCCUAACACAUGCAAGUCGAACGGAGUCAGAAAGCUUGCUUUUUGACUUAGUGGCGGACGGGUGAGUAACGCGUGAGUAACCUGCCUCUGAGAGGGGAAAAACGUUCUGAAAAAGAACGCUAAUACCGCAUAACGUAUCGAAGCCGCAUGACUUUUGAUACCAAAGAUUUUUAUCGCUCGGAGAUGGACUCGCGUCCGAUUAGUUAGUUGGUGAGGUAACGGCUCACCAAGACCGCGAUCGGUAGCCGGACUGAGAGGUUGAUCGGCCACAUUGGGACUGAGACACGGCCCAGACUCCUACGGGAGGCAGCAGUGGGGGAUAUUGCGCAAUGGGGGCAACCCUGAACCGCAGCAACGCCGCGUGAAGGAUGAAGGUUUUCGGAUUGUAAACUUCUUUUAUCAGGGACGAAGCUUGACGGUACCUGAUGAAUAAGCUCCGACUAACUACGUGCCAGCCGCCGC
rnacentral:rRNA from 1 species